ACAGGUGCUGCAUGGCUGUCGUCAGCUCGUGUCGUGAGAUGUUCGGUUAAGUCCGCUAACGAGCGCAACCCUCGCUGUGUGUUACAAGUGUCACACGGAACUGCCGGUCAUAAACCGGAGGAAGGUGGGGAUGACGUCAAGUCAGCAUGGCCUUUAUAUCCUGGGCUACACACACGCUACAAUGGGAAGGGACAAUAGGUUGCGAAGCCGCGAGGCGGAGCCAAUCCAGCAAAACUUCCCUCAGUUCAGAUUGCAGGCUGCAACUCGCCUGCAUGAGGUUGGAGUUGCUAGUAAACGCAGGUCAGCCAUACUGCGUUGAAUACGUUCCCGGGGCUU
rnacentral:rRNA from 1 species